rnacentral:rRNA from 1 species
CCUACGGGGGGCUGCAGUGGGGAAUAUUGGACAAUGGGCGCAAGCCUGAUCCAGCAAUGCCGCGUGUGUGAAGAAGGCCUUAGGGUUGUAAAGCACUUUCAGCAAUGAAGAAGUUGUAUUGGCUAAUAUCCAAUAUAAUUGACGUUAGUUGCAGAAGAAGUACUGGCUAACUCUGUGCCAGCAGCCGCGGUAAUACAGAGAGUGCAAGCGUUACGCGGAAUGAUUGGGGGUAGUGGAAAAAUUGAGAGUUGAAAGCCCUGUGCUUAACCUAGGAAUUGCAUUUAAUACUUUUUAUCUAGAGUAUUGUAGGGGGAAGUGGAAUUUCCGGUGUAGCGGUGAAAUGCGUAGAUAUCGGAAGGAACACCAGUGGCGAAGGCGACUUCCUGGACAAAUACUGACACUGAGACACGAAAGCGUGGGGAGCAAACAGGAUUAGAUACCCGAGUAGUC